rnacentral:rRNA from 1 species
UGGGGAAUAUUGCACAAUGGGCGCAAGCCUGAUGCAGCGACGCCGCGUGGGGGAUGACGGCCUUCGGGUUGUAAACUCCUUUCGCCAGGGACGAAGCGUUUUGUGACGGUACCUGGAGAAGAAGCACCGGCUAACUACGUGCCAGCAGCCGCGGUAAUACGUAGGGUGCAAGCGUUGUCCGGAAUUACUGGGCGUAAAGAGCUCGUAGGUGGUUUGUCACGUCGUCUGUGAAAUUCCACAGCUUAACUGUGGGCGUGCAGGCGAUACGGGCUGACUUGAGUACUGUAGGGGUAACUGGAAUUCCUGGUGUAGCGGUGAAAUGCGCAGAUAUCAGGAGGAACACCGAUGGCGAAGGCAGGUUACUGGGCAGUUACUGACGCUGAGGAGCGAAAGCAUGGGUAGCAAACAGGAUUAGAUACCCUGGUA